rnacentral:rRNA from 1 species
AGUGAACGCUGGCGGUAGGCCUAACACAUGCAAGUCGAACGGCAGCACAGUAAGAGCUUGCUCUUACGGGUGGCGAGUGGCGGACGAGUGAGGAAUAUAUCGGAAUCUACUUUUUCGUGGGGGAUAACGUAGGGAAACUUACGCUAAUACCGCAUACGACCUACGGGUGAAAGCAGGGGAUCUUCGGACCUUGCGCGAUUGAAUGAGCCGAUGUCGGAUUAGCUAGUUGGCGGGGUAAAGGCCCACCAAGGCGACGAUCCGUAGCUGGUCUGAGAGGAUGAUCAGCCACACUGGAACUGAGACACGGUCCAGACUCCUACGGGAGGCAGCAGUGGGGAAUAUUGGACAAUGGGCGCAAGCCUGAUCCAGCCAUACCGCGUGGGUGAAGAAGGCCUUCGGGUUGUAAAGCCCUUUUGUUGGGAAAGAAAAGCAGCAGGUUAAUACCCCGCUGUUCUGACGGUACCCAAAGAAUAAGCACCGGCUAACUUCGUG